rnacentral:rRNA from 1 species
AAGAACGCUGGCGGCAGGCUUACACAUGCAAGUCGAACGCCCCGCAAGGGGAGUGGCAGACGGGUGAGUAACGCGUGGGAAUCUACCCUGAUCUGCGGGAUAGCUCCGGGAAACUGGAAUUAAUACCGCAUAUGUCCUGAGGGACAAAGAUUCAUCGGUUCAGGAUGAGCCCGCGUCCGAUUAGCUAGUUGGUGGGGUAAAGGCCUACCAAGGCGACGAUCGGUAGCUGGUCUAAGAGGAUGAUCAGCCACAUUGGGACUGAGACACGGCCCAAACUCCUACGGGAGGCAGCAGUGGGGAAUAUUGGACAAUGGGCGCAAGCCUGAUCCAGCCAUGCCGCGUGAGUGAUGAAGGUCUUAGGAUUGUAAAGCUCCUUCACCGGGGACGAUAAUGACGGUACCCGGAGAAGAAGCCCCGGCUAACUUCGUGCCAGCAGCCGCGGUAAUACGAAGGGGGCUAGCGUUGUUCGGAAUUACUGGGCGUAAAGCGCACGUAGGCGGAUUUUUAAGUCAGGGGUGAAAUCCCGGGGCUCAACCCCGGAACGGCCUUUGAUACUGGGGAUCUUGAGUGUGGUAAAGGUGAGUGGAAUUGCGAGUGUA